GCCAGUGAGGUGUAGUGGUUUGAAUGUUUGACUACGACUCUUGAGAGCAGAGUUCAAAUCCCUGCUCAGGCA